rnacentral:siRNA from 1 species
ACGGGCCUGGCUCAUCCCGC